AGGGGUAUCGCCAAGUGGUAAGGCAGUGGCUUUUGAUGCCACCAUCCGCAAGUUCGAAUCUUGCUACCCCUUCCA
rnacentral:tRNA from 1 species